ACGUGACAGGGUCUUUGUGGAAUUGUGUCGAACACCUGUGGGCAUCCUCCGUGUGGAGUAAAUGACAUAGCUUUCUCGAUUUAAUUGGACCUUCCCAGAGUAAAUUUGGGAGUGUAGAAAAAUAGAAAAGCAUUCAAAUUUGGGUGUGUAGUGACUUAUAAGUGGAAUUGUGUUCAUGUUUGGGAUCAAAUUGGUCAUCCCAAUAGGCUUUGGUUUUGAAAGAGCAACAGAAGGUGAAAGC